GCACUGCGCUGUUCACCUGUGCCUUCUGUCAAGCAAUCGCUGCUCAACUGACUGUAACUCUGAACACCACUGGAGAGAGCACAGGUCUCUGGACUUCCAUGACAGUGCUUCCAUAUCCAUGGGUCCUCUGAUGUUGUCUGAAGGGAACACAGAUGAGUGGAUCCCAGAGAAAGUGAAGGCAUCUGAGGCUUCUCAUCUCUGUGGUUCUCUGAUGCUGUUGCUUGUUCCUCUGAUGAGUUUCCUGACCCUACUUUAAUGUUUUUCUUCAAAUAUAAUGUAAUCUUUUAUAUGCAUAAUUUCUAAUGCCAUUUUAAUGAAUAUUUGAGUGUUUGUAAAUUUCUCCUUGUCAUAAAUGUU